rnacentral:rRNA from 1 species
AACGAACGCUGGCGGCAGGCCUAACACAUGCAAGUCGAGCGCACCUUCGGGUGAGCGGCGGACGGGUUAGUAACGCGUGGGAAUAUGCCCAGAUCUACGGAAUAGCCUUUGGAAACGAAGAGUAAUACCGUAUACGCCCUUCGGGGAAAGAUUUAUCGGAUUUGGAUUAGCCCGCGUUAGAUUAGAUAGUUGGUGGGGUAACGGCCUACCAAGCCUACGAUCUAUAGCUGGUUUUAGAGGAUGAUCAGCAACACUGGGACUGAGACACGGCCCAGACUCCUACGGGAGGCAGCAGUGGGGAAUCUUGGACAAUGGGGGCAACCCUGAUCCAGCCAUGCCGCGUGAGUGAUGAAGGCCUUAGGGUCGUAAAGCUCUUUCGCCAGGGAUGAUAAUGACAGUACCUGGUAAAGAAACCCGGCUAACUCCGUGCCAGCAGCCGCGGUAAU